rnacentral:rRNA from 1 species
UACAGAGGGGCAAGCGUUGUUCGGAAUUACUGGGCGUAAAGGGCGCGUAGGCGGCCUUCUAAGUCGAACGUGAAAUCCCCGGGCUCAACCCGGGAACUGCGUCCGAUACUGGAAGGCUUGAAUCCGGGAGAGGGAUGCGGAAUUCCAGGUGUAGCGGUGAAAUGCGUAGAUAUCUGGAGGAACACCGGUGGCGAAGGCGGCAUCCUGGACCGGCAUUGACGCUGACGGCGCGAAAGCCAGGGGAGCAAAGCGGG